AGGAGGCGGAGCCGGCUGACCGCAGCCAGGAGUCCAGCUGUAUGCAGAGCUGCGCAGGGAGAACGAGCGGCUUCGCGAGGCCCUGACCGAGACCACGCUGCGGCUGGCGCAGCUCAAGGUGGAGCUGGAGCGGGCCACGCAGAGGCAAGAACGCUUCGCUGAGAGGCCAGCCCUCCUGGAACUGGAGAGAUUCGAGCGCAGGGCCCUGGAACGCAAGGCCGCAGAGCUGGAGGAGGAGCUGAAGGCCCUGUCUGACCUCCGCGCUGACAACCAGCGCCUCAAGGAUGAGAAUGCAGCGUUGAUCCGCGUCAUCAGCAAACUCUCCAAGUGACCCGGAGGGACUUUCCCGCACCCGUAUUUAUACAGCUGCUUCUGCCACACGCACCCCUUCCCCCGUGUGAACACGAGUGACAGGGCUCCGGGGGAAGUCUCAGAGAAGCCAUAGCCCCCCUGGGACCUCCGGACUGGGAGGGGAGCAGAGUCCCCAGGAGCCGAGGGGGCCACCCGAGGCCAGGAUGGAGGUGGGAGGCCGAGCCAAGCAGGGGGACGUUGCCAGAGGGGACCAGGGCCAGAGACGGGACCAGGAAGGAACUGAGGACCAAGAAGUGCAAGGAUCAGUAGCCAGGACCAGAGUGGCCGCCUGGAGGUCCCCAUCUCACGUGUGAUGCCACCCCGUCACCCCUCCCCUCCUGAGCAGGGAUCCAAGAAUGUGCCAAGAGUCCCGCCAGCCUCAGCCAGGUGGGCCUGUAUAUAGGGUCCAUGUGCAAUAGGGAGGGACGUCUUCUAUUUUUUGCUGCCCCCUCCCCGCCCACUGUCUGGGGCAGGGGGAGAAGGUAUUUUCGAGAUAAAGCACAGGCACCACAAAUAAAAGUCGUGAAGUUGCCACUCAAGCUCUGUGUUCCCAGCCAGAGGGAGGGCACUGUUUCCUG
rnacentral:lncRNA from 10 species